rnacentral:rRNA from 1 species
CCUACGGGAGGCUGCAGUGGGGAAUAUUGCACAAUGGGCGCAAGCCUGAUGCAGCCAUGCCGCGUGUGUGAAGAGGGCCUUCGGGUUGUAAAGCACUUUCAGCGGGGAGGAAGGCGUUAAGGUUAAUAACCUUGGCGAUUGACGUUACCCGCAGAAGAAGCACCGGCUAACUCCGUGCCAGCAGCCGCGGUAAUACGGAGGGUGCAAGCGUUAAUCGGAAUUACUGGGCGUAAAGCGCACGCAGGCGGUCUGUCAAGUCGGAUGUGAAAUCCCCGGGCUCAACCUGGGAACUGCAUUCGAAACUGGCAGGCUAGAGGCUUGUAGAGGGGGGUAGAAUGCCAGGUGUAGCGGUGAAAUGCGUAGAGAUCUGGAGGAAUACCGGUGGCGAAGGCGGCCCCCUGGACAAAGACUGACGCUCAGGUGCGAAAGCGUGGGGAGCAAACAGGAUUAGAUACCCGGGUAGUC